rnacentral:lncRNA from 1 species
AUGGUUAGGAUUUUUUGUUCCUUUUGUUUUAUUAGCAAUAUUUUCCUUCUUCAGUUCAGCAGCAAUAGAAUCACAUUAUUAACAACAAUACAUGCUUUUUGUGAAUAGGGGUUUCGUGAAGAAUUUCAAUUGCAGUGCCAAUGAUAUCUUGAAAGAAGCUACAUUAAUAUAUUUAAGUUUGAAGGGCAUGUUAAACAUGUAGAAGAUUACAGUUUAUGAAGAGGCUGACUUAGCUUUUUUGUUGCAGGCGCACACUUCUAGAAGCGACGCUAUUACGACAUCUUCCGCGAGUUCUACGUAUUUGAUAAGAACGAAGUUGACAGUUGUUGUACCGACGUGACACAAGGAUCGACUUUUAAAGAAUCUUCAAGAUGGUGUGAAGAGACAUGCUCUUUCAGCCCUUAAUGGAUGUGAGUGUUAUUUUUUCAAUUUUUGUAUACUGACAUUGAAUUCUAUCACCUACUAUGUUGUAAAUUAAAUUAUUUAUUCAGCCUUUUUAAUC